CCUACGGGGGGCUGCAGUAGGGAAUCUUCCGCAAUGGACGAAAGUCUGACGGAGCAACGCCGCGUGAGCGAUGAAGGUUUUCGGAUCGUAAAGCUCUGUUGUUAGGGAAGAACAAGUACCGGAGUAACUGCCGGUACCUUGACGGUACCUAACCAGAAAGCCACGGCUAACUACGUGCCAGCAGCCGCGGUAAUACGUAGGUGGCAAGCGUUGUCCGGAAUUAUUGGGCGUAAAGCGCGCGCAGGCGGUCUUUUAAGUCUGAUGUGAAAUCUCGCGGCUCAACCGCGAGCGGUCAUUGGAAACUGGGAGACUUGAGUGCAGAAGAGGAGAGCGGAAUUCCAUGUGUAGCGGUGAAAUGCGUAGAGAUAUGGAGGAACACCAGUGGCGAAGGCGGCUCUCUGGUCUGCAACUGACGCUGAGGCGCGAAAGCGUGGGGAGCGAACAGGAUUAGAUACCCCUGUAGUC
rnacentral:rRNA from 1 species